AGGACGAACGCUGGCGGUGUGCCUCAUACAUGCAAGUCGAACGAGAAACUGGAGCUUGCUCAGUGGAAAGUGGCGGACGGGUGAGUAAUAUGUAGGAAAUCUGCCCUAGAGAGGGGGACGAACAGAGGGAAACUUCUGCUAAUACCCCAUAUGAGCUUGGUUGAAAUACCAAUCUUGAAAACUCCGGUGCUCUAGGAUGAGCCUGCAUCUGAUUAGCUAGUUGGUGGUGUAAUGGACCACAAAGGCGACGAUCAGUAGCUGGUUUGAGAGGAUGAUCAGCCACAAUGGGACUGAGACACGGCCCAUACUCCUACGGGAGGCAGCAGUAGGGAAUUUUGCGCAAUGGGGGAAACCCUGACGCAGCAACACCGCGUGAAUGUUAAGCCCUUCGGGGUAUAAAGUUCUGUCAAUGGGGAAGAAUAAAUGACUGUACCCAUAAAGGAAGCACCGGCUAACUCCGUGCCAGCAGCCGC
rnacentral:rRNA from 1 species